rnacentral:tRNA from 1 species
GCCGGGUUGGCUCAGCGGCGACAGCAUCUGCCUUGUAAGCAGACGGAGCUUUUCCCCCGUGGGUUCGAGUCCCACACCCGGCUCCA